AGCUCUUGGUACAGCAGCCCAUUGUUUUCAGCCUGUUUAAAUGGGAGGGUUCCGUGGGGAAAGCUGCGCUUCCAUCGAUGCUUCCACACAGGGAAAAGGAGAUGGGGCUCUCCUGUACCCCAGGGUCCCUAAUCAUUCUGCAAACAGCAAUUUUCUCAUGCAGGGAAAAGAGAUAUGAAGAUCACCUCCAGCCCUCACUUAGUCCCUGACCAUCUGUGUAAUGCCAGAGGAUGCUUCAGGGAAGAGGCUGAUAGCUCAUGGAGGCUGAAGCAGGACAUUAGUGAUCACACCACUGAGCUGAAUUUUGGCUGAAACUAGCAAGUGAACAACCUUUGCCAUACCAUUAGUGGGGCUUUUUUAACAGCAGCACACUCUCAGGAGCACAGGCAAGUCUCUCUCCAGGCUUCAGUCUGCUCCUCCAUAAAACAAGGAUGUCCAGCUGGCUGUCUACAUUCCUAUGCAAAGUUCCUGGGAAACCUUCAAAUGAGGCCAUUUAUUGCUACAGCCCCACGGCUCUUGGUGGUCAUUUCCACCUGUGUGUGUGGGAGGUAGGGAAUAAAACGUGCUGUUAGUGUUGGAUGCUUUGCAAACACUUUGCCAAGGGGGAGGCACCAACGGAUGGGAGCUGAGCCCUGUGGACACCUCCCUGCCUGGGGAAGCUGGUGCCCAUCCAAGUGCCAUGCUGCCAUCAGGCAGAGUCAAAAUGACAAGUGCUUUUCUGUAACAUUCAACACUGAGUUUCUAUGGACCCAUUUCCAAAUGAGAUGCCUCUUUUCCUGGUGAAGGAAGUAUUUACACAUAAUUUGGUUAUUUUGUUAUGACCUGUAGACAUUUACGUGCCUUUAAAGAGGUUUCCCACCCUGGGCAUGUCUGAGAUGGCCCCAGACUCUGAUCCCAGGGCAGGACCAAUCCCCAAUUCCAUGGAUGGGUAAUACCCUGACACUAUUCUUGCCCCAGCAGAACCCCUCAGCCUUGAGACAGCUCAGCAUGAGCCCAGGAGAGCACAGUGAAGUACCAGGGAAGAUGCCAAACAAGGUGAUUGCCAGCUGUGCUAGCUGGUUAUAUUUAUACCUGCAGUGGAAAUAGACUUCAAAGGGAACAUAAACGUUCUUGGCUCCUUUCUCAACCAUUCUUUCACCUGGCACAGUGGUGUGAAGGGACUAAAUAAACACUGAAAAUCUUACUUAGUCUGUAUUCUGCUAAAUAAGACCCUACCAACUUCCUUUUUAUCUUUUUAACACAAGACAAAGAAUUCUCUUAAGACUUUUCUGACUUUUUCUAAGUCCUCACACAGACUUUCUUAGCAAAGAACUAAGUUAUGCCUUUCUUCCAGAACAUUUGGACAAAUGACAAGACUAGAUAAUAGGUCGUCCAUAUCCCUUAAGUAUAAAUGUAUUCACUGACUGCCUAUGAGGAAGCUGAUGAAAGCUUUAAAAAUCUAUAAACAGUCAGAAUAACAUUUCUGCCGUGGGGAGACCUGUGACAAACAAGUACCCCUGCAAUUUAGCAGCAUUUUUGAUCUAAAUGGUUAAUGCUGGAGAAGAAAAACUGCCUGUGUCACACACCUUAGGGGACCUCGAAACACCUUGGCUGAAUGGCAUCUCCCCUGAACUCAGCUGCACUGUGGAUGCCUCCCAGAGCACUGGGUUUAGGUUUUUAAUCCAUUCCCAAACUCCUCCAAGUAUCCAAGGUUCCAUGAGGGGUGGUCUGAGGAUGCUCUGGGAGCAUUGUGCUCACAUCACCUAAUUCUCCUGUCAAACACUGCAAAGUCCCCUUGUGCCAUGUCCCCAUCACUGGAAAUACCAAUGUUAUUUUCACAGAAAAUAAAGACUUCCUGAUAGACAAGA